GUGUCAGCCGCCGCGGUAAGACGUAGGGGGCAAGCGUUGCUCGGAAUCACUGGGCUUAAAGGGCGCGUAGGCGGUUGUGUAAGUCCAGGGUUGAAGGCCCCGGCUCAACCGGGGAGAGGCCCUGGAGACUGCAUGACUUGAGUGAGCGAGGGGAGGGCGGAAUUCCUGGUGUAGCGGUGAAAUGCGUAGAUAUCAGGAGGAAGGCCUGUGGCGAAGGCGGCCCUCUGGCGCUCAACUGAUGCUGAGGCGCGAAAGCGUGGGUAGCAAACAGGAUUAGAUACCCUGGUAGUCCACAGCCGUAAACGAUGUGCACUAGAUGUAGGGAGGUGUUGACCCUCUCUGUGUCGGAGCUAACGCAUUAAGUGCACCGCCUGGGGAGUAUGCCGGCAACGGUGAAACUUAAAUGAAUUGACGGGG
rnacentral:rRNA from 1 species